rnacentral:rRNA from 1 species
GAUGAACGCUGGCGGCGUGCCUAACACAUGCAAGUCGAACGGAGUCGUUUUGGAAAUCUCUUCGGAGAUGGAAUUCUCGACUUAGUGGCGGACGGGUGAGUAACGCGUGAGCAAUCUGCCUUUAAGAGGGGGAUAACAGUCUGACACGGCUGCUAAUACCGCAUAAAGCAUUAAAUUCGCAUGUUUUUGCUGCCAAAGUAGCAAUCCGCUUUUAGAUGAGCUCGCGUCUGAUUAGCUAGUUGGCGGGGUAACGGCCCACCAAGGCGACGAUCAGUAGCCGGACUGAGAGGUUGAACGGCCACAUUGGGACUGAGACACGGCCGAGACUCCUACGGGAGGAAGCAGUGGGGAAUAUUGCGCAAUGGGGGAAACCCUGACGAAGCAACGCCGCGUGAUUGAAGAAGGUCUUCGGGUUGUAAAGAUCUUUAAUCAGGGACGAAACAAAUGACGGUACCUGAAGAAUAAGCUCCGGCUAACUACGUG